UACAGAGGUCUCAAGCGUUGUUCGGAUUCAUUGGGCGUAAAGGGUGCGUAGGCGGCGCGGUAAGUCGGGUGUGAAAUCUCGGGGCUUAACUCCGAAACUGCAUUCGAUACUGCCGUGCUUGAGGACUGGAGAGGAGACUGGAAUUUACGGUGUAGCGGUGAAAUGCGUAGAUAUCGUGAGGAAGACCAGUGGCGAAGGCGGGUCUCUGGACAGUUCCUGACGCUGAGGCACGAAGGUCAGGGGAGCAAACGGG
rnacentral:rRNA from 1 species